GACGAACCGCCCGAACGUUGUUCGGAAUCACUGGGCUUAAAGGGAGCGUAGGCGGGCUGCCAAGUCCGGGGUGAAAUCCUCCAGCUUAACUGGAGAACUGCCUCGGAUACUGGAAGUCUCGAGGAGGGUAGGGGCAAGUGGAACCGUGGGUGGAGCGGUGAAAUGCGUAGAUAUCAGGAGGAAUACCGAUGGCGAAGGCAGGUCUCUGGGCUAUAACUGACGCUCAUGCACGAAAGCGUGGGGAGCAAACAGG
rnacentral:rRNA from 1 species